rnacentral:misc_RNA from 1 species
GAUGAAGAACGCAGCGAAAUGCGAUAAGUAGUGUGAAUUGCAGAAUUUAGUGAAUCAUCGAAUCUUUGAACGCACAUUGCGCCCUAUAGUAUUCUGUAGGGCAUGCCUGUUCGAGCGUUAUUGAGACCUCAAGCUCUGCUUGGAAAUGGGCGCUUGUCUUGCCUUGCAGACUCGCCUUAAAACCAUUGGCAGCUGAUUUACAAUGUUUGGUGCACAGUACAUGAGCCCAAGUGUUGCAAUGAGUGGCCCAAAAGUAUACAAUAGAAGCUUAACCUCGGAUCAGGUAGGGAUACACGCUGAACUUAAGCAUAUCAAUAAGCGGAGGA